UACGUAGGGUGCGAGCGUUUGUCCGGAAUUAUUGGGCGUAAAGAGCUCGUAGGCGGUUUGUCGCGUCGGCCGUGAAAACUUGGGGCUUAACCCCAAGCCUGCGGUCGAUACGGGCAGACUUGAGUUCGGCAGGGGAGACUGGAAUUCCUGGUGUAGCGGUGAAAUGCGCAGAUAUCAGGAGAAACACCGGUGGCGAAGGCGGGUCUCUGGGCCGAUACUGACGCUGAGGAGCGAAAGCGUGGGGAGCGAACAGG
rnacentral:rRNA from 1 species